rnacentral:tRNA from 1 species
GCAGGUAUAGCUCAGUGGUAGAGUGUGUACUUAGUGUGCAUGGGGUCCUGGGUUCAACUCCCAGUACCUCA